CCCAUGUUACUCAAAAUGCCUCUAGCCCUUCUACAAAUCAAGAUACAGAAGAAUCACAAGACGCGGAGACUGAAUCUAGCAUGAGUCUGUCAAGGCCAGCCACAACUUUCAACGAUAAAGAAAGUUUAGCUGAGGGGACUCAAGGGAUUGGUGAGAACAUUGAAAGGCCAUUGGUUGAAGCUGCUAAAAUUGCUCCUAGCCCCACAGGAGUUUAUGAUGCAGAGGUGAAUGAGACUGUUGAGAAGCCCUUAAUUCAAACUAUCCAGAAAGCACAGAGACCAAC